GGUGGCGUGUUGACCAAUUGGUUAGUUCUCUGGCCUUUGGUACCACAGGCUUCAGGUUCGAACCCUGACGGUACCG